rnacentral:rRNA from 1 species
GUAGGGUGCGAGCGUUAAUCGGAAUUACUGGGCGUAAAGCGUGCGCAGGCGGUUGGGUAAGUCAGAUGUGAAAUCCCCGGGCUCAACCUGGGAACUGCAUUUGAGACUGUCCAGCUGGAGUUUGGCAGAGGGGGGUGGAAUUCCACGUGUAGCAGUGAAAUGCGUAGAGAUGUGGAGGAACACCGAUGGCGAAGGCAGCCCCCUGGGCCAAUACUGACGCUCAUGCACGAAAGCGUGGGGAGCAAAC